UGUUUUUUUUUUUUUUUUUUUUUUUUUUUCG
rnacentral:ribozyme from 1 species